UUCAUUGUUCGUUCAAUGGUU
rnacentral:piRNA from 1 species